GAUGAACGCUAGCUACAGGCUUAACACAUGCAAGUCGAGGGGAAACGACAUCGAAAGCUUGCUUUUGAUGGGCGUCGACCGGCGCACGGGUGAGUAACGCGUAUCCAACCUGCCCACCACUUGGGGAUAACCUUGCGAAAGUAAGACUAAUACCCAAUGACGUCUCUAGAAGACAUCUGAAAGAGAUUAGAGAUUUAUCGGUGAUGGAUGGGGAUGCGUCUGAUUAGCUUGUUGGCGGGGUAACGGCCCACCAAGGCGACGAUCAGUAGGGGUUCUGAGAGGAAGGUCCCCCACAUUGGAACUGAGACACGGUCCAAACUCCUACGGGAGGCAGCAGUGAGGAAUAUUGGUCAAUGGACGAGAGUCUGAACCAGCCAAGUAGCGUGCAGGAUGACGGCCCUAUGGGUUGUAAACUGCUUUUAUAAGGGAAUAAAGUGAGUCUCGUGAGACUUUUUGCAUGUACCUUAUGAAUAAGGACCGGCUAAUUCCGUG
rnacentral:rRNA from 1 species